UCAGAACGUCGUGAGACAGUUCGGUCUCUAUCUACAGUGGGCGUUAGAAAUUUGAGUGGAUCUGACUCUAGUACGAGAGGACCGAGUUGGACUGACCUCUGGUGUACCAGUUGUCCCGCCCGGGGCAUUGCUGGGUAGCUACGUCGGGAAGGGAUAAGCGCUGAAAGCAUAUAAGCGCGAAACCCACCACAAGAUGAGAUUUCUUUAAAGGGUCGUGGGAGACUACCACGUUGAUAGGCCACAGGUGGAAGUGCGGUAACGUGCGUAGCCGAGUGGUACUAAUUACCCGUAUGCUUAUGUACA
rnacentral:rRNA from 1 species